rnacentral:rRNA from 1 species
UUGGUGGGGUAACGGCUCACCAAGGCAACGAUGCGUAGCCGACCUGAGAGGGUGAUCGGCCACAUUGGGACUGAGACACGGCCCAAACUCCUACGGGAGGCAGCAGUAGGGAAUCUUCCGCAAUGGACGAAAGUCUGACGGAGCAACGCCGCGUGAGUGAAGAAGGCCUUCGGGUCGUAAAACUCUGUUGCCGGGGAAGAACAAGUGCCGUUCGAACAGGGCGGCGCCUUGACGGUACCCGGCCAGAAAGCCACGGCUAACUACGUGCCAGCAGCCGCGGUAAUACGUAGGUGGCAAGCGUUGUCCGGAAUUAUUGGGCGUAAAGCGCGCGCAGGCGGUUUCUUAAGUCUGAUGUGAAAUCUUACGGCUCAACCGCAAGCGGUCAUUGGAAACUGGGAGGCUUGAGUGCAGAAGAGGAGAGUGGAAUUCCACGUGUAGCGGUGAAAUGCGUAGAGAUGUGGAGGAACACCAGUGGCGAAGGCGGCUCUCUGGUCUGUAACUGACGCUGAGGCGCGAAAGCGUGGGGAGCAAACAGGAUUAGAUACCCUGGUAGUCCACGCCGUAAACGAUGAGUGCUAAGUGUUAGAGGGUUUCCGCCCUUUAGUGCUGCAGCUAACGCAUUAAGCACUCCGC